CCGACAGAUGGAGUCAAUUAUUCAUCAACUACAAAUCUAUGACUUAUCAGAUUGAGAAAUUAAGGUCGCAUCAUAUAAGUGAAGUUGAACACUACUUUUCUAAUACCCUACAUCAGGUACGUUCCUAAAUAAACUGGAACUUACCUCAGAAGCCUCAGAAAAUUAGGAAAAUAAAAUGCAUUACUUUGUAUAUUAAGAAGCUCAAAAUCCCAUAUUUGAUUCACUAUAGAAUUACUUCAGAAUCUCAUAUGUUGUUUAAGCAAAACCUGUCUCAUAUUAAAACAUACCUACUGCUGUGUUGUCUAUUUGCUUUUCUCUUUUUAAAUGCCCUUUUGAGAAAUGCUGCAAAAAUUUUGUCCUGACAUGUGGGGGCCCAACUGUUUCCUGCUAUACUCAGCUUGGAGGACAUAGCCUCUAGGUUAUACUCUUUUGAAAUUGUCCUGUUGAAAUGCAUGUUUUGAUUUUGGGAUUUUCCAGAUGCUUCCUAAGUAGGUCCCAUGUGUUAAAACUUGUGGAAAUUCAGCAUGUUUCUCAAUGUGAGGCAUCUAAGUAGUUCACAAAUUUAAGGCAAUUAGUCUAUUACUGGGAUAAGACGAUUAAUUCUAUUAUAUUCCAUUGUUUACAUAUUACUUGUUUAAUCCAUUUCCUAUUCUAUGCUUUGUUUUUUCAUUUGUCUGAAUUAUUAAAAGUCACUACAUUUUAACAUUUUAAGCAAUUUAAUUUUUAUAUAUAAUUAUAUCCUUUGGCUAUUUAAACUGAAGACACAUUGUAUAUGUAAAUCAAAUUAAGAAAAAUAAAUGGAGAGUGUGUUCACUUACAACAGGAGGCUAUCGCUGUGCUAAAACUUUCUGCUGCUUUUGAGUCUUGGAAUUGUGGAAUCACAUAAUAUUUAAAAAAAUUAGAAAGAACUUUAAAUACCAUGUCCACAGACUUUCUCACUUUUCCAAUGAGAAAACUGAGACCAAGAAUGUUUAACAGACAGGUAAUGCCUGAAUUAGUCCUAGAAUCCAGAUUUCCUUAUUAUUUACAUGAAGUCCAGAAACAUACCAUAUGUAUUAAAUACAAUGGUUUCAAACAUUAAUGAAGUUUGAUUCUGAAAUGUGGGAGGGUUCAUAUAAGUCUAAAAUUUUAGUCUGCUUAAGUAUCCAAGUUUCUUGUUGUCUUAAAAUUUCUUAUUGGAGGAAGCCACUUUUCAGUCACUUUGAUAGGCAC
rnacentral:lncRNA from 1 species